AUUGAACGCUGGCGGCAUGCCUUACACAUGCAAGUCGAACGGUAACAGGUUAAGCUGACGAGUGGCGAACGGGUGAGUAAUACAUCGGAACGUGCCCAGUAGUGGGGGAUAGCCCGGCGAAAGCCGGAUUAAUACCGCAUACGACCUAAGGGUGAAAGGGGGGGAUGGCAAGACCUCUCGCUAUUGGAGCGGCCGAUGUAGGAUUAGCUAGUUGGUGGGGUAAAAGCUCACCAAGGCGACGAUCUGUAGCUGGUCUGAGAGGACGACCGGCCACACGGGGACUGUGACAGGGCCCAGACUCCAGCGGGAGGCAGCCGUGGGGAAUGUUGGACAAUGGGCGCAAGAAUGAUCCAGCAAUGCCGCGUGAGGGAAGAAGGCCUUCGGGUUGUAAAGCGCUUUUGUCGGGAAAGAAAAGCAUCAGGCUAAGACCCAGGGGUGAUGACGGUACCGAAAGAAUAAGCACCGGCUAACUACGUG
rnacentral:rRNA from 1 species